rnacentral:lncRNA from 1 species
AAAAAAUGAUUUUUUCUUCCGUUUUCUUGCUCGGGCUCAAUUUCUCAUCUGACGUUUGAUUCCCUGAGCUUCCAAACUAGUUUUUUACCUGCUAACAUACCAAAAAGUGUAAAAUAUCCUCAAGAAACUCAUAAUUAACAACACACUUCAUAUUAUAGAAUUGAGCUUAUAUCUAACUAAAAAUGCUUCAGUUUACACAGUUUACCUG